CACUACAACAAAAAAUAGAUAUUGAGACACUUUAAUAGGGACAUUUUUUAUUUAGUGCCUCCAAAAAUUACUGUUGAGGCACUUGGUCAUUUUUUUAAUGGGGCACGACACUUCAAAAAAUCAAGCCCAAACCCACCUCCCCAAUAUUCAUUUCAAUUUUCAUUUUAUAGGGUAUUUGCUACUUCACUACUCAAACCCACCGCCCCAACCUUCAAAUCUCAACCCCUAGUUCAGUUUGAUCCUUUGUCCUGAACCCGCCGGGCCGCUGCUCUCUCGGUCGGAGUCGUCGAGUCAGAACCCUUCGAUUGACGCAUCCCCUCGCGCCGCGCCGCCAGCAGCCGCCUCCCCGUCACGCCGGCAGCAGUAUCCAAUCGGUAAGAUACUAAUAUCCUAGAUAGAGAAAGUGAAAUCGAAAAGAAAAGAGAGAGGAGCUGUAAAUGUAAUUCGUCUCCUACUUCUCGUUCCCUCUUCCAAUUUUCACGGUACCCACCAAUUUCACAACCAUUCACUCUUCUCUCAUUUUAUCUCACAAUUUUUGAUUUUGUAUUUUUUUCAUCACUAAUUUCCCAGCCCUUCACUUAUUACUUAUUGUUGCGCCGUCGACAUCCUCCUGCUGCGCCGUCGUCGUUGGUGAGCCGCUGAUUUCUGCCGUUUGUUGCGCCGCGAACAUCUUGCCUCUACUUUCUGCUACCUUCUAUGGUGAAGAGCAAUCAAUCGCAGUUAGUGUUCUAGCCCUUCGAAGGUAAAGGGGCAAGCUCAUCAAUGUUUGUCCAACCUUUGAGGGGUGAUCUUUUCAGGGUAUUUUCUCAAUCUUUUUGGUCUAAGAGGUCUCUUUAGUCUUAUUCUUGGAGAAGACAAUGCAACUGAUGAUACACAACGGAUGAUGCAAAUGGGUGGAUUUGGAUUUGACCCAACCAGGACUCAACAUGAUGAGUUGAAGGCAAAUUUUUUGAGGAGAUCAGCAGCACUUGAAGCCAACUACCAGAAAUUGUAUCAGCCUCUAGCAUAGUGACCAUGUUUCUCUUCUGUAAAGUUGGUUGGUUGAUUUAUUCACUUGUUGAAUAGAUGAGUGGUUUAUGUGCAAGAUAUUCUUCAUUUAUGGAUGCUUUAAUUUAUUUUCUUGUUACAUCAA